AAUUGCUUGUGAAAGUGAUACAUUGUUAUUGCUAUGGUUUUGAUUAGGUAGCUUUGCCUAUCGUCAGUAAUUCCUUCAUUAUAUAAAAGAAAUGUCUGGAAGUUGUAUCAUUAUCAUUGAUAUUAAACGAGUGAGGGCACACAGGCUAUCCCGUGCCCAGAAUAAACUGCAUGGUGACGCACACCCUAAUCCCAGCAUUCUGGGAGGCCAAGGCAGGAGGAUCGCAAGUUUGAAUGGAGCCUGAGCGUCAUAAUGAGAGCUCAGCCUUCUCGUGGCUGAGACGAAAUACCCAACACUCAGCACUCAAAGGAAGAGAGGCUGAAUUUGGCCGCAGUUUCAGUCCAAGCGAGGCUGGCUCUAAGGCAGAGGCAUCGUGGCAGAAGACAGGUGGAUCCUGGCAGCGAAGAAGCAGAGAAAGAGGAGGAAAAGCUGAGCAUCAACCAAAAGAACCUUCCUCUGUUAAGACAGACAAACUGAAACCGAGUUCAAAAGGGACAGCAGAAGUUACACAAUCAGGAAAGAAGAAAAUUGAAAAAAUUGAAAAACUUGAAAAACAUGAAAAAAUUGAAAAAGGUAAGGUGACAUGUUAAGAUAUGCACAUUAAAAUAGCCAUAGGAAAAAACAAAAGAAAAAUCCACAUAAGCAUACAAAGUAUAUGACUUGAAAACACUUUAUCAAAAUAAGGACCCUGAUUUUAUAGCAUACAUCAGAAUUACAGCACAUCCAUGCAGCAGUUGAAAGCAUCUGAUCAUACUACUAUGAAAUAUCUAAA
rnacentral:lncRNA from 1 species